rnacentral:rRNA from 1 species
AGCGUACACGGUGGAUGCCCUGGCAGUCAGAGGCGAUGAAGGACGUGCUAAUCUGCGAAAAGCGUCGGUAAGGUGAUAUGAACCGUUACAGCCGGCGAUGUCCGAAUGGGGAAACCCAGUGCAAUUCGUUGCACUAUCGUUAACUGAAUACAUAGGUUAACGAGGCGAACCGGGGGAACUGAAACAUCUAAGUACCCCGAGGAAAAGAAAUCAACCGAGAUUCCCCCAGUAGCGGCGAGCGAACGGGGAGCAGCCCAGAGUCUGAAUCAGCUUGUGUGUUAGUGGAACGGUCUGGAAAGUCCGACGGUACAGGGUGAUAGUCCCGUACACCAAAAUGCACAGGCUGUGAACUCGAAGAGUAGGGCGGGACACGUGGUAUCCUGUCUGAAUAUGGGGGGACCAUCCUCCAAGGCUAAAUACUCCUGACUGACCGAUAGUGAACCAGUACCGUGAGGGAAAGGCGAAAAGAACCCCGGCGAGGGGAGUGAAAAAGAACCUGAAACCGUGUACGUACAAGCAGUGGGAGCACCUUCGGGUGUGACUGCGUACCUUUUGUAUAAUGGGUCAGCGACUUAUAUUCUGUAGCAAGGUUAACCGUAUAGGGGAGCCGCAGGGAAACCGAGUCUUAACUGGGCGUUAAGUUGCAGGGUAUAGACCCGAAACCCGGUGAUCUAGCCAUGGGCAGGUUGAAGGUUGGGUAACACUAACUGGAGGACCGAACCGACUAAUGUUGAAAAAUUAGCGGAUGACUUGUGGCUGGGGGUGAAAGGCCAAUCAAACCGGGAGAUAGCUGGUUCUCCCCGAAAGCUAUUUAGGUAGCGCCUCGUGAAUUCAUCUUCGGGGGUAGAGCACUGUUUCGGCUAGGGGGUCAUCCCGACUUACCAACCCGAUGCAAACUACGAAUACCGAAGAAUGUUAUCACGGGAGACACACGGCGGGUGCUAACGUCCGUCGUGAAGAGGGAAACAACCCAGACCGCCAGCUAAGGUCCCAAAGUCAUGGUUAAGUGGGAAACGAUGUGGGAAGGCACAGACAGCCAGGAUGUUGGCUUAGAAGCAGCCAUCAUUUAAAGAAAGCGUAAUAGCUCACUGGUCGAGUCGGCCUGCGCGGAAGAUGUAACGGGGCUAAACCAUGCACCGAAGCUGCGGCAGCGACACUAUGUGUUGUUGGGUAGGGGAGCGUUCUGUAAGCCUGCGAAGGUGACCUGUGAGGGUUGCUGGAGGUAUCAGAAGUGCGAAUGCUGACAUAAGUAACGAUAAAGCGGGUGAAAAGCCCGCUCGCCGGAAGACCAAGGGUUCCUGUCCAACGUUAAUCGGGGCAGGGUGAGUCGACCCCUAAGGCGAGGCCGAAAGGCGUAGUCGAUGGGAAACAGGUUAAUAUUCCUGUACUUGGUGUUACUGCGAAGGGGGGACGGAGAAGGCUAUGUUAGCCGGGCGACGGUUGUCCCGGUUUAAGCAUGUAGGCUGGUUAUCCAGGCAAAUCCGGAUAAUCAAGGCUGAGGUGUGAUGACGAGGCACUACGGUGCUGAAGUAACAAAUGCCCUGCUUCCAGGAAAAGCCUCUAAGCAUCAGGUAACAUCAAAUCGUACCCCAAACCGACACAGGUGGUCAGGUAGAGAAUACCAAGGCGCUUGAGAGAACUCGGGUGAAGGAACUAGGCAAAAUGGUGCCGUAACUUCGGGAGAAGGCACGCUGGUGUGUAGGUGAAGCCCCUGCGGGUGGAGCUGAGACCAGUCGAAGAUACCAGCUGGCUGCAACUGUUUAUUAAAAACACAGCACUGUGCAAACACGAAAGUGGACGUAUACGGUGUGACGCCUGCCCGGUGCCGGAAGGUUAAUUGAUGGGGUUAUCCGUAAGGAGAAGCUCUUGAUCGAAGCCCCGGUAAACGGCGGCCGUAACUAUAACGGUCCUAAGGUAGCGAAAUUCCUUGUCGGGUAAGUUCCGACCUGCACGAAUGGCGUAAUGAUGGCCAGGCUGUCUCCACCCGAGACUCAGUGAAAUUGAACUCGCUGUGAAGAUGCAGUGUACCCGCGGCAAGACGGAAAGACCCCGUGAACCUUUACUAUAGCUUGACACUGAACAUUGAGCCUUGAUGUGUAGGAUAGGUGGGAGGCUUUGAAGCGUGGACGCCAGUCUGCGUGGAGCCAACCUUGAAAUACCACCCUUUAAUGUUUGAUGUUCUAACGUUGGCCCCUUACCGGGGUUGCGGACAGUGUCUGGUGGGUAGUUUGACUGGGGCGGUCUCCUCCCAAAGCGUAACGGAGGAGCACGAAGGUUAGCUAAUCCUGGUCGGACAUCAGGAGGUUAGUGCAAUGGCAUAAGCUAGCUUGACUGCGAGCGUGACGGCGCGAGCAGGUGCGAAAGCAGGUCAUAGUGAUCCGGUGGUUCUGAAUGGAAGGGCCAUCGCUCAACGGAUAAAAGGUACUCCGGGGAUAACAGGCUGAUACCGCCCAAGAGUUCAUAUCGACGGCGGUGUUUGGCACCUCGAUGUCGGCUCAUCACAUCCUGGGGCUGAAGUAGGUCCCAAGGGUAUGGCUGUUCGCCAUUUAAAGUGGUACGCGAGCUGGGUUUAGAACGUCGUGAGACAGUUCGGUCCCUAUCUGCCGUGGGCGCUGGAGAAUUGAGGGGGGCUGCUCCUAGUACGAGAGGACCGGAGUGGACGCAUCACUGGUGUUCGGGUUGUCAUGCCAAUGGCACUGCCCGGUAGCUAAAUGCGGAAGAGAUAAGUGCUGAAAGCAUCUAAGCACGAAACUUGCCCCGAGAUGAGUUCU